AUUGAACGCUGGCGGCAUGCUUUACACAUGCAAGUCGAACGGCAGCGCGGGCUUCGGCCUGGCGGCGAGUGGCGAACGGGUGAGUAAUACAUCGGAACGUGCCCAGUAGUGGGGGAUAGCUCGGCGAAAGCCGGAUUAAUACCGCAUACGACCUGAGGGUGAAAGCGGGGGAUCUUCUGACCUCGCGCUAUUGGAGCGGCCGAUGGCAGAUUAGCUAGUUGGUGGGGUAAAGGCCUACCAAGGCGACGAUCUGUAGCUGGUCUGAGAGGACGACCGGCCACACUGGGACUGAGACACGGCCCAGACUCCUACGGGAGGCAGCAGUGGGGAAUUUUGGACAAUGGGCGAAAGCCUGAUCCAGCAAUGCCGCGUGUGUGAUGAAGGCCUUCGGGUUGUAAAGCACUUUUGGCGGGAACGAAAAGGACUGUGCCAAUACCACGGUUCGAUGACGGUACCCGCAGAAUAAGCACCGGCUAACUACGUG
rnacentral:rRNA from 1 species